rnacentral:snRNA from 1 species
AUACUUACCUGGCAGGGGAGAUACUAUGAUCAGCAAGGUGGUUUUCCCAGCGUGAGGCUCAUCCAUUGCACUGCGGGUGUGCUGACCUCUGUGAUUUCCCCAAAUGUGGGAAACUCAACUGCAGAAUUUGUGGUAGUGGGGGACUGCGUUCGCGCUUUCCCCUG